GGCUGCAUGGUUGUCGUCAGCUCGUGCCGUGAGGUGUCGGGUUAAGGUCCCAUAACGAGCGCAACCCCUACCUUAGUUGCCAUCAGGUUAAGCUGGGGACUCUAAAGGAACUGCCUACGCAAGUAGUGAGGAAGGCGGGGAGUGACGUCAAAUCAGCACGGCCCUUACGUCCAGGGCUACACACGUGCUACAAUGGCCGAUACAGAGGGCAGCUACCUGGUGACAGGAUGCAAAAUCUCCAAAGUCGGUCUCAGUUCGGAUCGGAGUCUGCAACCCGACUCCGUGAAGUUGGAUUCGCUAGUAAUCGCGCAUCAGCCAUGGCGCGGUGAAUACGUUCCCGGGCCUU
rnacentral:rRNA from 1 species